rnacentral:pre_miRNA from 1 species
AGAUGAAUUACCUGGGGAUCUUGAUGAACUGCAGUGUCUGAUUCAGUAAGUCUGGAGCACAUCUGAGAUUCUGCAUUUCCAGCAAGCUCCCAGGUAAUGUGGAU